rnacentral:tRNA from 1 species
AGGGCUAUAGCCAAGCGGUAAGGCAAAGGACUUUGACUCCUUCAUGCGCUGGUUCAAUCCCAGCUAGCCCUGCCA